rnacentral:ncRNA from 1 species
AUCAAUCAAAAACGGAUGGUCGACAUCUGUUUUUAUGGAACCGGGUUUGAAUCCCGGGCUGUCGUGCAACUGUGAUUUCUCCUGAGAGAAUAAGUCAGAUACAUAACGAUUGGUUUUUGGUUGA